CGCGUAGGCGGUCUUGUAAGUCGGAUGUGAAAGCCCGGGGCUCAACCCCGGAAGUGCAUCCGAAACUAUUUGACUUGAGUCCCGGAGAGGGUGGUGGAAUUCCCAGUGUAGAGGUGAAAUUCGUAGAUAUUGGGAGGAACACCGGUGGCGAAGGCGACCACCUGGACGGUGACUGACGCUGAGGCGCGAAAGCGUGGGGAGCAAACA
rnacentral:rRNA from 1 species